UACGUAGGUGGCAAGCGUUGUCCGGAAUUAUUGGGCGUAAAGCGCGCGCAGGUGGUUUCUUAAGUCUGAUGUGAAAGCCCACGGCUCAACCGUGGAGGGUCAUUGGAAACUGGGGAACUUGAGUGCAGGAGAGAAGAGUUGGAAUUCCACGUGUAGCGGUGAAAUGCGUAGAGAUGUGGAGGAACACCAGUGGCGAAGGCGACUCUUUGGCCUGUAACUGACACUGAGGCGCGAAAGCGUGGGGAGCAAACAGG
rnacentral:rRNA from 1 species